rnacentral:rRNA from 1 species
ACUGCUCAGUAACACGUGGACAACCUGCCCUUAGGACGGGUAUAAACCCGGGAAACUGGGUAUAAUACCCGAUAGGUCUCGAUUGCUGGAAUGCAUCGAGAUUUAAAGCUCCGGCGCCUAAGGAUGGGUCUGCGGCCUAUCAGGUAGUAGUGGGUGUAGCGUACCUACUAGCCUGCGACGGGUACGGGUUGUGAGAGCAAGAGCCCGGAGAUGGAUUCUGAGACACGAAUCCAGGCCCUACGGGGUGCAGCAGGCGCGAAAACUUUACAAUGCUGGCAACAGCGAUAAGGGAACCUCGAGUGCCAGGUUACAAAUCUGGCUGUCGAGAUGCCUAAAAAGCAUUUCAUAGCAAGGGCCGGGCAAGACCGGUGCCAGCCGCCGCGGUAACACCGGCGGCUCGAGUGGUAACCGUUAUUAUUGGGUCUAAAGGGUCUGUAGCCGGCCGGAUAAGUCUCUUGAGAAAUCUGGCAGCUUAACUGUCAGGCUUUCAGGAGAUACUGUCUGGCUCGAGGCCGGGAGAGGUGAGAGGUACUUCAGGGGUAGGGGUGAAAUCUUGUAAUCCUUGAAGGACCACCAGUGGCGAAGGCGUCUCACCAGAACGGACCUGACGGCAAGGGACGAAAGCUAGGGGCACGAACCGGAUUAGAUACCCGGGUAGUCCUAGCCGUAAACGAUACUCGCUAGGUGUCGGCCACGGUGCGACCGUUGUCGGUGCCGUAGGGAAGCCGUGAAGCGAGCCACCUGGGAAGUACGGCCGCAAGGCUGAAACUUAAAGGAAUUGGCGGGGGAGCAC